rnacentral:rRNA from 1 species
UGUAUUUAGAGGAAGUAANAGUCGUAACCAGGUUUCCGUAGGUGAACAUGCGGAAGGAUCAUUAUUGAAAUAAACCUGAUGGGUUGUUGCUGGCUCUCUAGGGAGCAUGUGCACGCCUUGUCAUCUUUAUAUCUCCACCUGUGCACCUUUUGUAGACCUUUCGGGGUCUAUGUUGCUUCAUUUUUCCACAAUGUAUGUUAAUAGAAUGUUGUGCCCUGUAUAAUAUAUACAACUUUCAGCAACGGAUCUCUUGGCUCUCGCAUCGAUGAAGAACGCAGCGAAAUGCGAUAAGUAAUGUGAAUUGCAGAAUUCAGUGAAUCAUCGAAUCUUUGAACGCACCUUGCGCUCCUUGGUAUUCCGAGGAGCAUGCCUGUUUGAGUGUCAUUAAUAUACAUAUAUCAAGCCUUCUCUUGUAGAAGGGUUUGGAUGUGGGGGUUUGCUGGCCUCUUAAUCUUAAGAGUUCAGCUCUCCUGAAAUGCAUUAGCAGAACAACCUUAUGUUCAUUGGUGUGAUAACUAUCUACGCUAUUGAAUGUUGAGGGGGAAGUUCAGCUUUCUAACGGUCCCUUGGACAACUCAUCAUUAAUGUGACCUCAAAUCAGGUAGGACUACCCGCUGAACUUAAGCAUAUCAAUAAGCGGAGGAAAAGAAACUAACAAGGAUUCCCCUAGUAACUGCGAGUGAAGCGGGAAAAGCUCAAAUUUAAAAUCUGGCGGUUUUUUUGGCCGUCCGAGUUGUAAUCUAGAGAAGUGUUAUCCGCGCUGGACCGUGUACAAGUCUCCUGGAAUGGAGCAUCAUAGAGGGUGAGAAUCCCGUCUUUGACAUGGACUGCCAGGGCUUUGUGAUGCGCUCUCAAAGAGUCGAGUUGUUUGGGAAUGCAGCUCAAAAUGGGUGGUAAAUUCCAUCUAAAGCUAAAUAUUGGCGAGAGACCGAUAGCGAACCAGUACCGUGAGGGAAAGAUGAAAGAACUU